UAGGGAAUCUUCCACAAUGGACGAAAGUCUGAUGGAGCAACGCCGCGUGAGUGAAGAAGGGUUUCGGCUCGUAAAACUCUGUUGUUAAAGAAGAACAUAUCUGAGAGUAACUGUUCAGGUAUUGACGGUAUUUAACAGAAAGCCACGGCUAACUACGUGCCAG
rnacentral:rRNA from 1 species